rnacentral:lncRNA from 1 species
CAUUUAUUAAUGACCUUUAAUGGACUAUCAUCAAGGCAGAAGUAAUAGUAAUAAAACACAAUUAAUUAGCUUGUUGGAAGUAUAACUAUAAUAUAAUUUAUGAAAUUUUACUCAUUGGAAACCAUUUUCCCAGCAGGGAAAAGCAACCAUAAAGAUGUACCCAAGUAAUAUAUGGGAUUCAUGUAAUUGAUUGAAACAGGACAUUUUCCUCAGCUUAACUGGAGCUGGUGCUUGUCAGCCCUAGGCUGGAGCACUCUGCUUUCUAUACCAGGCCUGAUAGAAGCAGGCAACUGCACAGGCACCUAGAUGGGAAUGCACCAGCCCACCCUCAUAGUCACUCUACAAAGACCAGGUCUCCCUAUGCACUUGUUGUUACGUGUGCUUUGUCGAGCUCUGUCCCCAGUUUCCCACAACCUUCAUCGAGCUAAUGUGAAGACUCUUCAUCUGCUAUCCUUGUGUGUGCUCCAGGUUCUGCCCC